GAUGUAACGCUGGCGGCGUGCCUAACACAUGCAAGUCGAACGAAGCGAGUUUAACGGAAGUUUCGGAGUGGAAGUUGAAUUGACUGAGUGGCGGACGGGUGAGUAACGCGUGGGUAACCUGCCUUGUACUGGGGGACAACAGUUAGAAAUGACUGCUAAUACCGCAUAAGCGCACAGUAUUGCAUGAUACAGUGUGAAAAACUCCGGUGGUACAAGAUGGACCCGCGUCUGAUUAGCUAGUUGGUAAGGUAACGGCUUACCAAGGCGACGAUCGGUAGCCGGACUGAGAGGUUGAACGGCCACAUUGGGACUGAGACACGGCCCAG
rnacentral:rRNA from 1 species